GAAUUGAUAACAAAAUGCUGAAAAGUCAAAAUCUUGAGAAAUCAAAGUGCAGUACAGUAGUAUUCAUUGUG